rnacentral:rRNA from 1 species
CAGCCGCCGCGGGAAUACGAGGGGGGCAAGCGUUGUUCGGAAUUAUUGGGCGUAAAGGGCGCGUAGGCGGUUUGACAAGUCUGAUGUGAAAUCUCUGGGCUCAACCCAGAGUCUGCAUCGGAAACUGUCGAGCUUGAGUAUGGGAGAGGUGAGUGGAAUUUCCGGUGUAGCGGUGAAAUGCGUAGAUAUCGGAAGGAACACCUGUGGCGAAAGCGGCUCACUGGACCAUUACUGACGCUGAGGCGCGAAAGCUAGGGGAGCAAACAGGAUUAGAGACCCGUGUAGUCCCUGUCUCUUAUAA